CCGCGCGCGUAGUGGCGGCCUGUGAGGUGACCGCCUCGUCCUCCGGAUUCUCUGAGAGGUGUGCGGUGUGGACCCGCCCCUGGCACCUGGGCGUGAGUCCCGGGUUGUGACGGCGUGUGUGUACAAUCCUGACUGCAGUCGCAGUGUGGACUCUCCCCGCCGUCGAACAAUGACCCCACUGGCGUGUGCUACGAUCCACCCUAAUUCUGACCCUAUCUCGCUGGCGACGGCUCAGCCCCCAGGACGGCGCUCACCCCCCUCCCCCACCGGACCCCAGUUCCAGGUCUGUAGGUCAGAGUUUCUGGGGACCCUCCUCCGAGGGCUUAAUAUGCCAAGGGCGGAUCACAGACCUGGGAGAGGCGUCUUACUUACCAGUCACCAGCGUUACAAAAGGACGUAACCCAGAAAUGGCCCUGGAAGAGGUGCACAGGGUGAAGCUUCCACUCUUGCAGCGCCUCCACGCGUUCACCGACCCGGAAGCGCUCUGAACCGCGUCCUUUUUCGGAAGAGGCUACACCGCAAAGGCACGGUGGAUGAAACCAUUGGCCAAUGGUGAUGGAACUCAAUUUCCAGCCCCUCUCCCUGGCACCGAGGUCAGGGGGUGGGAUUAAAAGUUCUAACCCUCGCCCGCUGGCUUGGUUCCCCUGGCAACCAGCCCCACCAAAGGAGUUUCCCUCGAUUUCCUGCUCGUUAACAUAACAAAAGAGAGCCGUUCCUCUCAGCGCUUAGGAAAUUCCUAGGGUUGGGGAGCUCCAGGCCGGGAAGGGGCGAAGAACAAAUACCUGUUUCUUACUACACAGCACUACAUCGCACCACGUGUGGGGGAAACCCUGGGUUUGUGGUGGUGCCCUCUGGGACUAGGUACUAAGAAUAAAUGUGUAAGGCACUA